UACAGAGACUGCGAGCGUUAUUCGGAUUCACUGGGCGUAAAGGGUGCGCAGGCGGCCAAGUGUGUGAGGCGUGAAAGCCCGGGGCUUAACCCCGGAAUUGCACCUCAAACUACAUGGCUAGAGCAUUGGAGAGGGUGGCAGAAUUCAUGGUGUAGCAGUGAAAUGCGUAGAUAUCAUGAGGAAUACCAGAGGCGAAGGCGGCUACCUGGACAAUUGCUGACGCUCAGGCACGAAAGCGUGGGGAGCAAAAGGG
rnacentral:rRNA from 1 species